GUUUAAGCGGCUUUUGUGCGCCUCGAAUGCAACAAAUCACGAUUUAUUGUAACAUUUGCGAAUAAUAAUGCAACUAGUGCAAAGGGAGCGUUCGGAAAAGGUCAAAAUUCUUGAGAAUCUCACUGAUCUUCAUCGGAGUAAAAUUUCAAUAUCCGCAGACAAGUGGUAAUACACGGAUGACGCCAAUGGCCAUCAAGAAGCCGACCAAGUUGCCUAUCACGCCAUUGCGCGCAAAUUCUCUCAUCACGUCUGAAUCAACUUCUUGACGCAGCAUUCUCGCUGCUUCCUUUGCCAAUCUAACACGAUUCAUCAUGGAAUUGAUAUUUUUCACUGCUCUACGUCAAAGUCUCAACAAAUAGCAACGUCAAACAUAAAAACAAAUUGAAUUUAUGUUUACACAUCCGUUCUGGUUUGAUAUUUUGAUACUUUUAAUAUUUCCGGUGUGCGAAACAAAAUUUCUCAUGUUUUUUUUUUAAUUUCAAAUUGUCAAUCAAUCAAAUUGUUGGUGUGAAACAGUUUCGGACGAAAUUUUACACAAAUUGUAGUAAUUUUGAUUUCAAACAUGCAUAGAACAAGCAGUCGCGAAACAAACAACUCGAGAUCAUCAUCGAGGAAAAGCGGAAGUCGACACAGCAGUAUCUACGCGUCAUACUACGGCGAAGAUGAAGAAAAAGCGGCUGCGAGACGCGCAGUCAUCGGCAAUCUCACCGGCUUCGCAAUCAUUUGUACAAUCAUUCGCAUUCUGCCGUGUCUCACUGCGUUCUAUUAGAAUAGAAUCCAACUGACAUUCGUGAUCUGUCAAGGACAAACGGUUGAAGCACUUAUUAAUUAACACAAUGGCGGUAUUAUUACAAGCACGGUGUGAAAAUAUCAUGCGAUAAAGAUCACGAUGAGAAAGAAAUGUGAAAACACGUUGAGUAAAUAAUAAAAAAAACGUGCAAAUAUU